rnacentral:misc_RNA from 1 species
CUACUUCAUGGGGUGGCCGCAUGUGGGGUCGAACAUUUUGCUCCGAAGACUCCACUGGAAAAUUCUCUUGCUUAACAGGUGAUUGCGGCUCUGGUAAGCUAGAAUGCUCAGGCAGCGGAGCUGCUCCUCCGGCUACACUGGCAGAGUUCAAGCUGGACGGCUAUGGUGGAAUGGAUUAUUUCGAUGUGAGUCUUGUAGAUGGGUACAAUCUCCCUCUGCUGGUGGUGCCUCAGGGUGGCUCCGGGCAGAAUUGUUCAAGAACCGGCUGCGUGGUGGAUUUGAACGGCUUGUGUCCUUCGGAGCUUAAGGUUACGAGCUCCGCCGGCGACAGCGUUGCUUGCAAAAGCGCGUGUGAAGCUUUCAGGCAACCACAAUACUGUUGCAAUGGCGCAUAUGCUACACCCGACACUUGCAAGCCGUCCUCCUACUCUGAGAUCUUCAAGAACGCGUGUCCAGACGCCUACAGCUACGCUUACGAUGACAAGACGAGCACCUUCACAUGUAUCUCCGCGAAUUACCUCAUAACCUUUUGCCCAACCCCUAACACAAGCCAGAAAGCUUCGCAGGGUCAGAACACAGAUGGUGCAAUUACAAGCACAGUCAACAGCACCAUGGUUUAUGAAG